rnacentral:tRNA from 1 species
GCCGGGGUGGCGAAAUUGGCAUACGCACGGGACUUAAAAUCCCGCGACCGCAAGGUCUUAAGGGUUCAACUCCCUUCCUCGGCA